rnacentral:miRNA from 1 species
AUCAACCUGGCUCUGAUACCA